AGAGUUUGAUCCUGGCUCAGGACGAACGCUGGCGGCGUGCCUAACACAUGCAAGUCGAGCGAAGCACCUAUGACAGAUUCCUUCGGGAUGACGACAUAGGUGACUUAGCGGCGGACGGGUGAGUAACGCGUGAGGAACCUACCUUCCACAAGGGGAUAGCCUCGGGAAACUGGGAUUAAUACCCUAUGACACUUAAGGGUCGCAUGACCUUUAGGUUAAAGCGAUUUAGCGGUGGAAGAUGGCCUCGCGUCCCAUUAGCUAGUUGGUGAGGUAACGGCUCACCAAGGCGACGAUGGGUAGCCGGCCUGAGAGGGUGACCGGCCACACUGGGACUGAGACACGGCCCAGACUCCUACGGGAGGCAGCAGUGGGGAAUAUUGCACAAUGGGCGGAAGCCUGAUGCAGCGACGCCGCGUGAGCGAUGAAGGCCUUCGGGUCGUAAAGCUCUGUCCUAUGGGACGAUAAUGACGGUACCAUAGGAGGAAGCCCCGGCUAACUACGUGCCAGCAGCCGCGGUAAU
rnacentral:rRNA from 1 species